rnacentral:rRNA from 1 species
CCUACGGGUGGCUGCAGUAGGGAAUCUUCCGCAAUGGACGAAAGUCUGACGGAGCGACGCCGCGUGAGCGAAGAAGGCCUUCGGGUCGUAAAGCUCUGUUGUUAGGGAAGAACAAGUACCGUUCGAAUAGGGCGGUACCUUGACGGUACCUAACGAGAAAGCCCCGGCUAACUACGUGCCAGCAGCCGCGGUAAUACGUAGGGGGCGAGCGUUGUCCGGAAUUAUUGGGCGUAAAGCGCGCGCAGGCGGUCCCUUAAGUCUGAUGUGAAAGCCCACGGCUCAACCGUGGAGAGCCAUUGGAAACUGUGGGACUUGAGUGCAGAAGAGGAGAGCGGAAUUCCAUGUGUAGCGGUGAAAUGCGUAGAGAUAUGGAGGAACACCAGUGGCGAAGGCGGCUCUCUGGUCUGUAACUGACGCUGAGGCGCGAAAGCGUGGGGAGCAAACAGGAUUAGAUACCCUAGUAGUC